GAUGAACGUUGGCGGCGUGCUUAACACAUGCAAGUCGAACGAGAAGUGAAGACGGAAACCUUCGGGCGGAAGGCUUUAUUUCGAGUGGCGGACGGGUGAGUAACGCGUGGGUAACCUGCCUCAUACAGGGGGAUAACAGUUGGAAACGACUGUUAAUACCGCAUAAGACCACAGCACCGCAUGGUGCGGGGGUAAAAACUCCGGUGGUAUGAGAUGGACCCGCGUUCGAUUAGCCAGUUGGCGGGGUAACGGCCCACCAAAGCGACGAUCGAUAGCCGAUCUGAGAGGAUGACCGGCCACAUUGGGACUGAGACACGGCCCAAACUCCUACGGGAGGCAGCAGUGGGGAAUAUUGCACAAUGGGGGAAACCCUGAUGCAGCGACGCCGCGUGAGUGAAGAAGUAUUUCGGUAUGUAAAGCUCUAUCAGCAGGGAAGAAAAUGACGGUACCUGAGUAAGAAGCCCCGGCUAACUACGUG
rnacentral:rRNA from 1 species